GCGAUUGCUUCAAUAACACUGAGGGGACAGAAUACAUUACCGCAGUCCAAAAAGCUAACACCUUUGAGACUGAGGAGGAAAACAAUAAAACAUGUAUGCAGGAGAGUGAAAAGGCAGGCCCUCUAGUAAAAUGAGCUAAAUAAAGUAAAUAUAUAAUGUGAAACAGUGUGAAGACACUAAAAUGGUGUCGGAGCCAAAGGUGAGAGUAAUUUCUUCUUUUCAAAUGCUUUUAAAAAAGGGGCAGAUAGAUAGAUAGAUGUGGUGUGAGGGUGUGGUGUAUAUAUUCAUUCAUGCAUGCAUGCACACAUAUAUACAGUAUCUGUGUGGAGGUGAGAAAACAAAAGGCGACCUGCUGCAUUUAAAGAUACUUUUAUGGCGAAGCGUCCAGAUCACCUGAGGCUCUUAUCUCAACGACACCUCUGGGCUCUGGGUGUGAGAGCUUUAAUGUGCCGAAAUAAAUGGCAGCCUCCAUCCUUCUGCUGGCUGGAGCUUUAAGAGACCGACACCUCGGGAGAGAACCUCCGGAGCACCGGGGCACUGCCGCUCUCGCCUGCCCAGGGAGCAUCUCCUGCUGCUGGGACACACUGUGGAGCCGGCUGAGGGUCUGACCAAGAGAUUGCAUCAGAAACCAUUUAGCUUGUUUGCUAAGAAAUUGUUUCCCCAACUACCUUCCUCUCGGAGCUGUGUGACAGAGCCG